UACGUAGGGGGCGAGCGUUGUCCGGAUUUGUUGGGCGUAAAGAGCGUGUAGGCGGCCAGGUAGGUCCGUUGUGAAAACUCGAGGCUCAACCUCGAGACGUCGAUGGAAACCAUCUGGCUAGAGUCCGGAAGAGGAGAGUGGAAUUCCUGGUGUAGCGGUGAAAUGCGCAGAUAUCAGGAAGAACACCUAUGGCGAAGGCAGCUCUCUGGGACGGUACUGACGCUGAGACGCGAAAGCGUGGGGAGCGAACAGG
rnacentral:rRNA from 1 species